rnacentral:misc_RNA from 1 species
GUGAAUCAUCGAAUCUUUGAACGCAAAUUGCACUCCCUGGUAUUCCGGGGAGUAUGCCUGUUUGAGGGUCGUUAGAAUAAAAAAUCGAUGCGUCGCUCUUUUUUUAAGGGUGAUCGCGUCGGAAUUUAGCCGUCUUUUAAAUGUUAAUUCAUUUCAAAGUUGGCUUAAAUUCAUCCAUCCGGUUCGAUUUAAGCGG